rnacentral:rRNA from 1 species
AUUCCUUGUCGGGUAAGUUCCGACCUGCACGAAUGGUGUAACGACUUGGGCGCUGUCUCAACCACCAACUCGGCGAAACUGUAGUAGCGGUGAAGAUGCCGUUUACCCGCGACCGGACGGAAAGACCCCGUGGACCUUUACUGCAACUUGAUAUUGGGUUCUGGCCAAGUUCGUGUAGGAUAGGUGGGAGGCUAUGAAGUGGGGGCGCCAGCCUUCAUGGAGCCAACCUUGAAAUACCACCCUUGCUUUGUUGGAGUCCUAACUCGGCACCGUUAUCCGGUGCGAGGACAGUGUCUGGUGGGUAGUUUGACUGGGGCGGUCGCCUCCCAAAAUGUAACGGAGGCGCCCAAAGGUUCCCUCAGCGCGGACGGCAACCGCGUGUCGAGUGUAAGGGCAAAAGGGAGCUUAACUGCGAGGCCAACAAGCCGAGCAGAUGCGAAAGCAGGGCCUAGUGAUCUGCCGCUGCUGUGUGGAAAGGGCGGCACUUAACGGAUAAAAGGUACCCCGGGGAUAACAGGCUAAUAACCCCCGAGAGUUCACAUCGACGGGGUUGUUUGGCACCUCGAUGUCGGCUCAACACAUCCUGGGGCUGGACAAGGUCCCAAGGGUUUGGCUGUUCGCCAAUUAAAGUCGUUACGUGAGCUGGGUUUAGAACGACGUGAGUCAGUUCGGUCCCUAUCCGUCGCGGGCGUAGGAUGCUUGAGAAGGGCUGCCCCUAGUACGAGAGGACCGGGGUGGACGAACCGCUAGUGUGCCAGUUGUCGUGCCAACGGCAUGGCUGGGUAGCUAUGUUCGGAAAGGAUAAGCGCUGAAAGCAUCUAAGCGCGAAACCCGCUUCAAGACUAGGCAUCCCGUGGGUAUAUCCCACCUGAAGGCUCGUUGUAGACUACGACGUAGAUAGGCCGGAGGUGUAAGGGGAGUAAUCUCUUCAGCCGACCGGUACUAAUCAGCCGUGAGACUUGACCAUU